rnacentral:rRNA from 1 species
GACGUAGGGCGCGAGCGUUGUCCGGAUUUAUUGGGCGUAAAGAGCUCGUAGGCGGCUUGUCGCGUCGUUCGUGAAAACCUGCAGCUCAACUGCAGGCUUGCGGUCGAUACGGGCAGGCUAGAGUUCGGUAGGGGAGACUGGAAUUCCUGGUGUAGCGGUGAAAUGCGCAGAUAUCAAGAGGAACACCUGCGGCGAAGGCGGGUUGCUGGGCUGACACUGACGCUGAGGCGCGAAAGCUAGGGGAGCGAACGGG